GACAGAGAGUGCAAACGUUGCUCAGAAUCACUGGGCGUAAAGGGCGUGUAGGCGGGAAGGAAAGUCAGAUGUGAAAGCCCUAGGCUCAACCCAGGAACUGCAUUUAAAACUCCCUUUCUUGAGUGUCGGAGAGGAAAGCGGAAUUCCUGGUGUAGAGGUGAAAUUCGUAGAUAUCAGGAAGAACACCGAUGGCGAAGGCGGCUUUCUGGACGACAACUGACGCUGAGACGCGAAAGCGUGAAGAGCAAACAGG
rnacentral:rRNA from 1 species